CUCUGGUGUGGGGGAAUGUUGUAUGGAAGGGGAACUGUGUUUGAGAAGUUUAGUGUCAGUAAAAGACUCUUACAAAGUACUUUGCCUGGCCUGGAUUAUUUCUGUUCGGAACUGCUUCACAGCCGACUUUCUGGACCGUGUGAACACACGCACCAACAUAUAUAUGGAAAUCAAUGCUGACAGGAAAAAAUCCAGUAGGAAUAUAGAAAGCUGCCUUAUUCCACAUCAGACCAUUGGUCCAUCUAUUUCACUACUGUCUACACUGGCUGGGACUGGCUCUCCAGGAUUUCACAGAGGAGUCUUUCCCAACCCUGCCUGGAGAUGCCAAAGACUGAAGCUGGGACUUUCUGCAGGCAAGACAGAUGCUCUACCAUUGAGCUAUGGGUCUUAUUCGCCACCUUGAGUUUCUAAUGGAAUCCAUCCACAAUUUCCCCUGCUCCCAGUCACUCUCAGAGUUGAAUUUCUACAAAGAGAGAUGCUGGAACUCAGGUCUUCCUGGGAUUAUUGAUCAAUGACUUAUCUGUUCUCAUUACUAUAUCAUCUUACGUUCUAUCUUGCCAUUGGAAAGGAAUACCAAACUAAGAAUACUGAAGCAGACACCAAGCCACGAAUAUUGAAGACCUUCUGAGGAAGCAGCAAGCCUCAAUGGACCAUAGAAAUAAGGCACUGGAGAGAGGAAGAAUAUACUAUAGAACCCUUUUUUAUUUAUAACAUUUUUUUAAAAAAUCAUUGUUAGAUGCAAUCCUUUCAUGGUACCAGUAGUUAUACAUUUAUUUUAACACUUGUGCUCUAUUCUAUGCUGGAUGUUUUUAGAUUGAGAGGUAUUCCUCUGUCAUUCGUUUCAGUAGCAAUUUUCAGGUCACUAACUGCUCAGAGUUUCUGUUUUAUAACAUAGUUUGCUUGAUACUUCUGUAUAUGACUCUCUUGAUGGAACCUUCUGAACAAGGCAACAAAACCAGAAUAAAUACUCUAAUCUCAUAGUGUCAGAAAAUGUGAUCCUUCAGAUUAAAAUAUAUGCAGCAAGCUUACUCUUUCCCUGAAGAAUGAUUCUGGGGGAAGUCUCCUGUAAGGAAAUAUGCCUGUUUCUCCUCUUCAGAAUUUCUACACUCUUCAGAACUGGGAUGAUAAAAUCAUUAAAGGAGUUAGAAACAGGAAAUAGAUGAAUCGUGCAUAGCACAGAGUAAUUACAGAGAGAAGUGUUUUCAAAACAAAGUAUACAGAAACACAUAUUUUAUUAAAAAUUGCAAAGGGUGCCAGAUGACCACAAUUUGUCUGGACAGCACAAGUUUAAAUGUCAACACCAAAAAAGCCUGCAUCCACUCAAGUGGUCCACCUGAGGUCCACUUCUGCAUGGCAAAACAUCCUCUGUCAAAGUUGUUUAGGGGUGAAUAGCAAUAUUAGUUUCACCUUGCACAUGGCUAGAAUGUAACAGGUAGCUUAGUCCUGAGAUUUAGUAGCCACUUCUGUGAUGGACCAGUCAGUCAGUCAGAUUUUUUAUUGUUUCUAGCCAAUGGAAAUUACAUUGUAAAUCACAGACACACACACCCUAAGACAAUCCAACAGUAAGUUAAAGCAUAUCAAUUUUCAGAACUGAAGAUUAAAAUGGUAAAUUUUCUCAAAGAUUUUUUAAAAUAAAAUCCUUUUGGCAGUAGACACUCUUUGGGGUAUAAAAAGUAGUCGAUAUAUUUUAACUGCUAGUGAGUAUAAAAUUAUCCUGUAGGUGAGAAAUGUCUCUGUAAUUUGAACUCAUCUGAUUGAAUUUAUGUUUAGAAAACAGAGAAAUCUACCCCUAAGUGAACUGUAUAAAAGGCCAUAGAAGUUCUACUGUUCCAUGUCUGUGAUCUGGCCUGAUCCAUAUAACAAGAACAGUAAUUUGUUGGCCUAUUAAAGAACUUACUGGUUAGGUAUUUGUGGACAUAUCUUCAAAUCUAGGUUGAGUGUGAUGGACCAAAAAAAAAAUAUUAUUGAAUCAUUAGGUCAGACACACCUUUGUUGUUGUUUUUUAUACUGCCUAAGAUUUCCAAUACCAAAAAUGGAUAUGUAACAAAGGAAAAAAGAGUGAGGAAGUAAGGUUAUUUAUUCCUUCUCUAACACCUAUGCUUGAAGAAAAAUCCUUAUGUUUGAAAGAUCAUAAUGAUUGUAAACAAUAAGGCAUUGCAAUAAGAGAUCUUAUUUUGCACACUGUAUGUCUUCUUCUGUGCUGAGGACAUCUCAACUUGUCAUUUUGGACAUGCACGUUUCAUAUGGGUAGAACAAGGCUAUUCAUGUAUUCAUUCACAUAAAUUUGAAUGUUUAGAUAGCAGCUCAUCCUUCAUCCCAUUCUCUACAUGCUCACCUAUAUUUAUAUCUUGUUUAUGAAUAGGCUCUUUCCAUGUUAUUGGAGACCCUAUCUUUUGCAGGGUCCCUGAUAAUGUGUGAACAGUUGAUGCCCAGAUACAAUUUGAACAAAUGUGUAUGGUUAGUUAAAUGUGAGGAAGGAAGGGUGGAGCUAAUGGCCAUGAUCCUGCUCCCCUCCUCCAUGCGUUCAAACCUACUUGGAGGAAUGUAUGAACAAUCCUUUUUACAGGGCUUGUCAAUCCUUGGAUCUCUUCCUUGGUUUUCUGAUAGAAAUGUACACAUGAAGCAAAUGCUUACAGUUUGUAUUAUAGUCUAAGCAAUACUAUGUAGUAUUACAGCAUGCUGCAGUGUUAUAGCAUGCUAAAUAUAGCCAAAGCUAAGUAACAACUAAGGGCAUGGCCCCUCUGCCUGUGUAUGAUACAAUUUAAUGAUGCAGUCAAUGCAGCGGCAUAGCUAUACACUACUUUUCUUGUUAAAAUAUGUUAUGUAAUGUAGAACCCAUCUUAUUUUGUGAUUUUAGGUUGUUUUUAAUUGUUUUUAAAACUGUAUUUUAAAUUUGUUGU